GACGGAGGGUGCAAGCGUUGUUCGGAUUGACUGGGCGUAAAGGGCGUGUAGGCGGUCGGCCAAGUCUGAUGUGAAAGCCCGAGGCUCAGCCUCGGAAGUGCGUCGGAAACUAGUCGGCUGGAGCGCGAUAGAGGAGGGUGGAAUUCCUGGUGUAGCGGUGAAAUGCGCAGAUAUCAGGAGGAACACCGGUGGCGAAGGCGGUUCUCUGGGCAUGUCCUGACGCUGAGGAGCGAAAGUGUGGGGAGCGAACAGG
rnacentral:rRNA from 1 species